CUACGGGGAGGCAGCAGUAGGGAAUCUUCCGCAAUGGACGAAAGUCUGACGGAGCAACGCCGCGUGAGUGAUGAAGGUUUUCGGAUCGUAAAACUCUGUUGUUAGGGAAGAACAAGUACCGUUCGAAUAGGGCGGUACCUUGACGGUACCUAACCAGAAAGCCACGGCUAACUACGUGCCAGCAGCCGCGGUAAUACGUAGGUGGCAAGCGUUGUCCGGAAUUAUUGGGCGUAAAGCGCGCGCAGGCGGUUUCUUAAGUCUGAUGUGAAAGCCCCCGGCUCAACCGGGGAGGGUCAUUGGAAACUGGGGAACUUGAGUGCAGAAGAGGAGAGUGGAAUUCCACGUGUAGCGGUGAAAUGCGUAGAGAUGUGGAGGAACACCAGUGGCGAAGGCGACUCUCUGGUCUGUAACUGACGCUGAGGCGCGAAAGCGUGGGGAGCGAACAGGAUUAGAUACCCUUGGUAGU
rnacentral:rRNA from 1 species